UAUUAUUCCAGUUUUUUUCCUGGUUCCAGUGAUCACUGUUAUUAGUGUUUCAGACCACAGACAAUGUUUGCACUGUUAUAUAUUCCGUGCUAGUUACUGGCUGGAAACAAUAGACGCAAAGUGGGAGCUUAAAGAAGAGAGAUGCUGGGAAGCCAUCCUAUCUUUCCUGACUGUUCCAUAUCACACCGCUCUGAUUGGAGAGACUGUGGUCCACCUCCUACAAAUUUAUCAGAAAAGCUGUAGUGAGGAAGUCCCCAGGCACUGGCAAGGUAAUGAUGCGCUGUGAGAUGUGGAACCCCUCCAUGUUCUCCUGUGCUGCUGCAUACAGGUGUGCCAGCAGCGGAACUAGAGGGAGCAGCUACAGCAGUGCCUGACCAUCCGGGGCAAGACGAUGAAUUGUGUUAUGAAUAUUUCCUUGGGAAGUUCUUUGCAGAUUUAUUUCCUGCAUCCAGACCUAGUCCUUCAGCUCAGGUUAUUAUUGCUUGCCUGAAGCUCAAGAGUUAUGUUAAUUAUUCUGUGUUAACCAUUUGUGGAUAAACGAAGUCUUUACUUCCUUGUUCGGAUUUCUAUACCCA
rnacentral:lncRNA from 1 species